AUUGAACGCUGGCGGCAGGCCUAACACAUGCAAUUCGAGCGGAUGAAGGUAGCUUGCUCCUGGAUUCAGCGGCGGACGGGUGAUUAAUGCCUAGGAAUCUGCCUGGUAGUGGGGGAUAACGUCCGGAAACGGGCGCUAAUACCGCAUACGUCCUGAUGGUGAAAGUGUGGGUUCUUCGGACCUCCCGCUUUCAGAUGAGCCUAGGUCGGUUGAGCUAGUUGGGGGGGUAAAGGCCUACCAAGGCGACGAUCCGUAACUGGUCUGAGAGGAUGAUCAGUCACACUGGAACUGAGACACGGUACAGAGUCCUACGGGAGGCAGAAGUGGGGAAUAUUGGAAAAUGGGCGAAAGACUGAUCAAGCCAUGCCGCGUGGGUGAAGAAGGGCUUCGGAUUGUAAAGCACUUUAAGUGGGGAGAAAGGGCAGUAAGUUAAUAGAUUGCUGUUGUGACGUUACCAACAGAAUAAGCACCGGCUAACUUCGUG
rnacentral:rRNA from 1 species